UUCAUCUUCCUCCCUCUGUUUCUCUCUCGCACGGGCAGAGUACAAGCAGCGCCUCCGCCCUCCCCACUACAUCCCGCCGCCAGCUCAGGGACCCUUCCCCUCCCUUGUUGUGCGCUUCUUUGGCAGGGACUGCACCUCUCCAGUCCCCACCGCCGUUGAGAUGGCCGCCCUUCCCUUUGCCUCUCCACCUCCGUCGAUGGAGGCGCAGACUUUGUCUCCACCAGAUCCUCGGUCGCGGACUUGACGCGAUUGAUGGAGGGCUCUGCAGCGCCUAACUCCUCCUCUUGCGGGACAAGAUGCGAAAUCGGAGCAAGCGCUGAGGAGCGCCAGUGAAGACGCCCUGCUCCGAUGGGUUGGGCAUGCUGCGAGCCUCACCGUGUGGUGUGGCCAAGUACGACAUGCUCCAAAGUGGAUGGUCGACGCCCUGCCCACCUCGCCCAUGACUGGUACAACAUGAAGUUGGGUUCUAGUGUUUUAGCUAUAGUGCAGGAAAGCAAUCUUGGAUUCACUGGAUGAUGUAUACACACCAAGUGCACCUCGCUUUCAUAAUAGCAAGCAACCCCAUUCUGAGGUAUGUUCUUUUCGCCCGCUACCUUUUUAAGAGUUUGAUUAUUUCCAAUUAGCCUUCUCUGAUGUGAUGCUUGAUAACCCCAUUAUGAGAUUUUGUAUAGUCCUUUCAUUGACAUGGCCUAAAACUAACAUCAAUGAAAGGACUAUACAAAAUGGUAGGCCAUGUCAAUGUCAAUGAAAGGACUAUAAUACAAUACAUGUCAAAUGUCCCAAUGCCAUGUCAAUACAUACAAUACUCUCAAGUCUGCAAUACAAUACCAAUUGGUAGGCCAACAUUCAGAGAAGGAUGUACUGAACUUAGGUUGUAGAAGUUCAGAGAAACAUGUACUGGAUUUAGCAAGUAGAAAUUCAGAGAAGCAUGAGUGGAGGAGCCGAGUCUACCUUUUCCUGUAUGUUGUCUACCUUUUGCUAUUAUCAAUUGGGAUGUCACUUUUUUCUGAUAAGGGAAAAGACGUGCUCAGGGUCUUGUUGAUCCAGAACUUGUUGACCAUCUGACUUCCAUGCUAAAAAAGAUAGGCAUCUCCUAAAUUAUGUUGCUAAUUCUUUCGUUUAUCCAAGAUGGAUGUCAGUCCUCCCAAUUAUGUGCUUAAUAUAACAGAACAGAUUAGAGAUAUGUUCAGUGCCAUGCAUUCAGUUUCACUCAAAACACAUAAACUAUAUAUUAUAGGCCAUUGUAUUUAUUUGUACUCGGUAUAUUAAGAAAUAGGAGCACAAUUGUAGUCAUGCUUUUUUGUUACUAUUUGUAUUUCUGAAUUUUGAACCAAAUCUGCCAUGAGGAAUCUGCCCAUGAACUUGUCUGAUGUCCAUCAUUUUGGUCAUUAUUAAUUUUGUUGUCGCAAGUGCACAUUCUUCCAAAUAUGGUACUCUUAAUAAUUGAAUAUGUGAGGAUAGUUGGUGUUUCAUGAAACCAGAUUGCUUUACUUGCUACAGAGUAUAGCCACCAAGGUUUGUUUCCUGUGAGCUAGCUUCCUACACCCAGCAGGGGGCUUGAUGUUAAGGUAAAGAAAACUCUGGUCAAAGUUUGUACCUGAUCAAUGUUCGUUGGCUUGUGGCGAGGGCCUCAACGUGGCGAUGGCAUCCGUGGGUCGACAGAGGAGAGCGGCAGGUGGCCACGGCGCCUCGCGCGCACAUCCAUGACUCAGCAGAUGCAGAGCUCACAUCCAUGGGGAAGUAGAGGAGAGCGGGAAGCAGCAAUGGCAGCAUGUGCUCGCGUCCUUGGGGAAGUAGAUGAGGAGAGGACGCCAGUGACUGAGUCCCCUGUUCGCAUCUGUGGGGUAGUAGAAUAGGAGCGGAAAGCGGCAACGUCGAUCCGCGUUCGCGGCAGCAGGUAGCAGAGGAGGAACGGCGGGUAGGGGCGGCGAUCUGCGCUCGCUUCCGUGGGGCAGCAGAGGAGGAGAGACAAUUUUUUUUAUCAGGAAGGAGAGACAGCUUGUAAUGAGGGAAGAGAGAAAAUUAUGGGAUAGAAAUCCCCUAUCCCGCUAAUUGAGGAGGAACGGGCGCGGGGGGCAGUCUGCUCCGGCAGAACAUUUAAUCUGGGCCGCUCGUUUGCGUGGCUGACCAUUGAUGUAAUAUGAACUGUCAGAUGUGAUUUAGUUGGAUUGAUCGAACGCCUCUGAUAAUCUCGUGUACACUUUGUGGUGUGUUUGUUGGAUAA